rnacentral:rRNA from 1 species
UUUGCCUACGGGACGCAGCAGUGGGGAAUAUUGCACAAUGGGGGAAACCCUGAUGCAGCAACGCCGCGUGAGUGAAGAAGUCAUUCGUGAUGUAAAGCUCUAUCAGCAGGGAAGAAAGUGACAGUACCUGACUAAGAAGCCCCGGCUAACUACGUGCCAGCAGCCGCGGUAAUACGUAGGGGGCAAGCGUUAUCCGGAUUCACUGGGCGUAAAGGGAGCGCAGGCGGCACGGCAAGUCUGAUGUGAAAGCCCGGGGCUCAACCCCGGGACUGCAUUGGAAACUGCCGGGCUGGAGUGUCGGAGGG